rnacentral:rRNA from 1 species
CUAUAUCCGUCGAAGAACUUUCUCGGCAGCCUCCACGGUUUUCUCAAUGUCUAGGGUUGUGUGUGCCAAGCUUGUAAAACCUGCCUCGAACUGGGACGGUGCCAGAUACACGCCUUCUUCCAGCAUCCCACGGUGGAACCUCCCAAACUUCGCGGUGUCGCUCUUCUUGGCGUCAUCAAAGUUGUGCACUGGGCCACCUGCGAAGAAGAAUCCGAACAUGCCCCUGAUGUGUCCUCCACACAUCUCAUGCCCUGUUUUAGCGCCCGCAUCCAAUAUCCCCUGGACAAGUUCACCGGUGACCUUGUCCAAGUAUUCAUAGGUGCCAGGCUCCAUCAGACGCUUGAGAGUGUGGAUUCCGGCAGUCAUAGCUAG